UGCUGGGGGCGAUGGAGCGGUUUGAUAAACUGGAUAUGUCAGCUAUGCUUAAGUGGGAGUCAGCCCUGGACAGAGAGCAGAUUUCCAGACAGGUCCUCCCAGAGGCUGCUGCGGUCACUCUGGACUGUAAAAUGAAAGCCAAAGAGAAGUACCAAUCCGACCUGUGGUUAGAAAUCGAACACCUGAAUAAGGGUAUAGUGCGACAAGACUCAAGUUCAUCUUCCUUGGC